UACGUAGGGGGCGAGCGUUGUCCGAAGUUACUGGGCGUAAAGCGCGCGUAGGCGGGUUGGCAAGUCUGGUGUGAAAGCCCGGGGCUCAACCCCGGAGGGUCGGUGGAUACUGCCAGUCUUGACGGUGCUAGGGAGAGAUGGAAUUACCGGUGUAGCGGUGAAAUGCGUAGAGAUCGGUAGGAACACCAGUGGCGAAGGCGGUCUCUUGGGGCAUUCUUGACGCUGAGGCGCGAAAGCUGGGGGAGCGAACGGG
rnacentral:rRNA from 1 species